UACGUAGGGGGCAAGCGUUGUCCGGAUUUACUGGGCGUAAAGAGCGUGUAGGCGGCCAAGCAGGUCCGUUGUGAAAACUCGAGGCUCAACCUCGGGCUUGCAGUGGAUACGGGCAGACUAGAGUGCGGUAGGGGAGACUGGAAUUCCUGGUGUAGCGGUGGAAUGCGCAGAUAUCAGGAGGAACACCGAUGGCGAAGGCAGGUCUCUGGGCCGCAACUGACGCUGAGGAGCGAAAGCAUGGGGAGCGAACAGG
rnacentral:rRNA from 1 species